AGGGUUUCCCCUCUCAGGGUGCACCUGCUGCCUCUUAAGUGAAGGUACAAAACAAGAGCAAAGGAGAGGAGGCCUCUUUCCAAGGUAGAGAGCAUGGCAGCUUUUAGGGGAAAACAAGCUAAGAAGAAUGUCUCUCAGAUAUUUGGACAGAUUAGCACAGCUAGUGGGCACAUAGCCACAGUUUUCUCCAUAAGGAGUCUCCGAACAUUAUCAGGCCUCUCUGUUGCUGGACUCCCAUUCUGUAGCUUCACUGCAGAAGACUCUGCCUGGCAAACGUGAGAAGACUGUGGUAUUAGAAAUGGACUCAAUCUAUUGCCGUCAACAUGGUUGGUUCUGUCCUGUUCCAUCU